rnacentral:misc_RNA from 1 species
UUUCCGUAGGUGAACCUGCGGAAGGAUCAUUAUUGUAUAACCGAGGGGCGAGGGCUGUCGCUGACCCGACAGGUCGUGCACGCCCGAGUGCCCUCACACACAUCCAUCUCACCCCUAUGUGCACCACCGCGUGGGUCCCCCUUUGGCUUGUUCGGAGGGGGGCUUACGUUUUCACACAAACUUUGUAUGCAGUGUAGAAUGUAUUUUUUGUUUUUGCGAUCACGCAAUCAAUACAACUUUCAACAACGGAUCUCUUGGCUCUC